rnacentral:tRNA from 1 species
GGUCGUGUGGCCCAAUGGCAAGGCGUCUGACUACGAAUCAGAAGAUUUUGGGUUCGAUCCCCAUCAUGAUCA